rnacentral:rRNA from 1 species
UAGGGAAUCUUCCGCAAUGGACGAAAGUCUGACGGAGCAACGCCGCGUGAGUGAAGAAGGAUUUCGGUUCGUAAAACUCUGUUGUUAGGGAAGAAAAAAUGUAUAGUAACUAUAUACAAAAGAGACGGUACCUAACCAGAAAGCCACGGCUAACUACGUGCCAGCAGCCGCGGUAAUACGUAGGUGGCAAGCGUUGUCCGGAAUUAUUGGGCGUAAAGCGCGCGCAGGUGGUUUAGAAAGUCUGAUGUGAAAGCCCACGGCUCAACCGUGGAGGGUCAUUGGAAACUAAUAAACUUGAGUGCAGGAGAGAAAAGUGGAAUUCCUAGUGUAGCGGUGAAAUGCGUAGAGAUUAGGAUGAACACCGGUGGCGAAAGCGGCUUUUUGGCCUGCAACUGACACUGAGGCGCGAAAGCGUGGGGAGCAAACAGG